rnacentral:rRNA from 1 species
UGGGGAAUAUUGCACAAUGGGGGAAACCCUGAUGCAGCGACGCCGCGUGAGUGAAGAAGUAUUUCGGUAUGUAAAGCUCUAUCAGCAGGGAAGAUAAUGACGGUACCUGACUAAGAAGCCCCGGCUAACUACGUGCCAGCAGCCGCGGUAAUACGUAGGGGGCAAGCGUUAUCCGGAUUUACUGGGUGUAAAGGGAGCGUAGGUGGCAGGGCAAGUCAGAUGUGAAAACCCGGGGCUCAACCCCGGGAUUGCAUUUGAAACUGUCCGGCUGGAGUGCAGGAGAGGUAAGUGGAAUUCCUAGUG